AAAGGGCAUUUCCAUCCCUGUGACUCUUCAAGGCUGAGGUUGGGAGGCCUGUAAUUUCUUUCACCUGCACACCACCACCAAGUUUUCACAAAGUACCUGAAAUGAAGUUAUCACCCAGCAGAGCCCAAUUGGAUCUCAUCUGUACACUGAGGCAUGAAGCUUUUCCUACUCUCAGGUGUGAGCUUCAGCUACAACCUGAAUCCAAUGAAAGGCUCUAUAACAUUACAAAAUGUAAUGCAAAGUGAUUUUCCUUCCACAGAGGAAAAAGAAAUUCAGGAAGGAGAGAAGAAGACCCAAUUCCAGGCAUGAACAUCUAUUUUGCAUGAGGCAUUUGUACAGAUUGACACCAUGGGUUGCUAACAGAGAAAUAUGGAUGAACUACUACUGCCUUGUUCUGCUGCAGCACUGAUCCUACUCCACAUCAAUCAACUGUACUCUCACCUUUACAACUUCAGCUUGAGAGCAUUUGGUCUGCAGUGUCAGUUAUGUAGAUGUCUCUCUCCCUGUCCCCACCAAGAGAGGAAUUUAAUUGGGAAAACUGGAGUUCUAACGAUUUAGUGGAAAGUUUACAAUAAAUAUUCAAUUACUUUAUGUUUUUUAUUUUUCUUAAGGACUUCAGCAUAGUUAUACAUGUGCAGCCAUAGCCUGAAUAGUAACUUGAAUAAUGUCACAUUUCUCAUAACAUGUUUAAUUACAGCAUUUCUUAGCCAAGUUAAUGACAUAAAAGUUCAAAAAGGAGCAGCAAGACCCUAAUUAAUAAUAAUCCCCUUUCUAAAGAAUAUACAGAAAUUUGGGAAAUUAGUACGAAAACUAUUGGUCUUUCUAAUCCAUCCUUUUUCUUUGGACUGCUAUUCAUUAGCCUUGCCCCAAAGUGAUCUCCGCUCACUGCUGUUCAACUCCAUGCUAUUUGAAUCUUCAUCUUUUGUUAGACUUUUCAAUAUCCUAAUUAUGUUUUUAAGUGAAAAAUCUCUCACUAAACCCCAGCAUAAACCUCCUUCUCAUUUCUAAUUUCAAGUCACAGUGGAAACAAGACAAUGACCAUGACAAAGUCAGACUUCUUUGUAUUACAUUUGUUACAUUUAAGUUGUCCUGUCAGCACCAUUUUUCAGACCAAGGACAUUCAAACUCUGAAAGACAAGCAAUGGCUAUAAUAUAGCCAAAGGCAAAAGCAGCAAGGAAUUUUCAGUAAGGAUCUUUAGGGAAGCUUUUGUAUGUGGAGAUUUCUUUAGCUUGACAUUGUUUAAUUAUUAAAGACUAUUUUUUUAGACCAAGUAGAGGAAUAUGGCCAAGAAAAGCAUGUCUAUUACCAAUUGUUAUGUGGGUUUUAUUGUGCCAUUUGUAAAUAAGGUUUUGGUUCCUAGAUCCUAUCUUUCUCUGAACUAGGAGUCAGAUGAAAGUGGGGAAAAUGUGGGCAUUUUUUUUUUUUUUUUUUUUUUCCAUUAAAAGUGAUGAAGAACUUCCUUAUACAAUUUAAAUGAUGUGCUUGUGGUGGUAUGUGACAGAUUGUCUCCCCACAAUGCAUUUUUCUUUCUAAACAUCCUGUCAGUUUGCUUCAAUGAGUUCUGAAUUGUCUUAUCUAUGCCCCUAGGGAAAAACGUCAGUUGUCUUUAUAAACCCUUGUUUUAGGAUGUUUUGAAAGUCUGGUCUAGUCUAUGAGGAAGAAACACUCUGUGGCACGUUCCUUAGUCAUAGCCCCAGUGGUAGCUGCAUUCAGAGGAGAGCACAUGUCGGAAAGUGAUAGAGAACCCUUCUGGGCUCAGCAACUGUGAAACAUAGGCCAUGGGAAGAAGACUAAAGUCUGCUCACCUCUUCUGAAAUGGAUUUGCAUAAUGCAGCCCAAAACCUUCAGACCAUGGAAGGUUUUGUGUCCCCUUGGGUGGUCAUAAUU